rnacentral:tRNA from 1 species
GCGGAUGUGGCGGAACGGCAGACGCGCAGCGCUCAGGACGCUGUGGGGGCAACCCCGUGGAGGUUCAAGUCCUCUCAUCCGCA